AGCGAACGUUAGCGGCAGGCCUAACACAUGCAAGUCGAACGAAGUCUUCGGACUUAGUGGCGGACGGGUGAGUAACACGUGGGAACGUGCCUUUAGGUUCGGAAUAACUCAGGGAAACUUGUGCUAAUACCGAAUGUGCCCUUCGGGGGAAAGGUUUAUCGCCUUUAGAGCGGCCCGCGUCUGAUUAGCUAGUUGGUGAGGUAAAGGCUCACCAAGCCUACGACCAGUAGCUGGUCUGGGAGGAUGACCAGCCACAUUGGGACUGAGGCACGGCCCAAACUCCUACGGGAGGCAGCAGUGGGGAAUCUUGCGCAAUGGGCGAAAGCCUGACGCAGCCAUGCCGCGUGGAUGAUGAAGGUCUUAGGAUUGUAAAAUCCUUUCACCGGUGAAGAUAAUGACUGUAGCCGGAGAAGAAGCCCCGGCUAACUUCGUGCCAGCAGCCGCCGUAACAC
rnacentral:rRNA from 1 species